rnacentral:rRNA from 1 species
AGUAACACGUGGAUAACCUACCUAUAAGACUGGGAUAACUUCGGGAAACCGGAGCUAAUACCGGAUAAUAUUUUGAACCGCAUGGUUCAAAAGUGAAAGACGGUCUUGCUGUCACUUAUAGAUGGAUCAGCGCUGCAUUAGCUAGUUGGUAAGGUAACGGCUUACCAAGGCAACGAUGCAUAGCCGACCUGAGAGGGUGAUCGGCCACACUGGAACUGAGACACGGUCCAG